rnacentral:lncRNA from 1 species
CAGGAAGAGGUUUAUAUAGAUCAAUCCCCUGGCAAUGUUGAUCCUCAAUAUCCUACACAUAUUUGUAGGCUUCUUUGAGCUCUCUAAGGCCUGAAACAAGCUCCACGAGCAUGGUUCCAUCACUUCAGCUCUUUUCUCUUGGCUUGUGGCUUUACUUAUAAUUUUGCUGACUCAUUUUUAUUUGUUCUCUCUAAGAAUGAUGACUUGAUCUAUUUAUUACUCUAUGUUAACGAUAUUGUCAUGACUGGCAGCCAUUCAGCACUCCUAAAUGCAUUUGUUGGCAAGCUAACUCGUGAAUUUGCCACUAAAGACCUUGGAUCCUUGAACUAUUUUUUGGGCUUGGAAGCUCAUCGCACAUCUAUUGGUCUUUUUCUUAGCCAAGUCAUGUACGAGCAUGAGAUCUUAUAGUGUGCACAGCUAGUUACUCCAAACCGGUGGGUACUCCCAUGGUAAUCGCUCAACAUCUUUCCACAACUAGUCCUGAUUUUGAUGAUCCAUCCCUCUACUAGUCGCUCGUAGGUGCCCUUCAAUAUCUUACAAUCGCUCGUCUUGAUAUUGCUCACGUUGUAAGUGUUGUCAUUCAGUUCAUGCAUAAGCCAUCUAUUUCUCAUUUUCAAGUUGUUGAAAGGAUAUUACAUUAUGUUAAGGGGACUCUUCGGUUUGGUUUAUCUUUCACUCCAUCUUCUUCUAGAGAACUUAUUGCUUAUUCAAAUUCCGACUAGGCUGGGUGUCCGGAUACACGUCGAUCAGUUUUGGUUAUGUCGUUUAUUUCGAUGGUGAUCUAAUGUCCUGGAGUUCCAAGAAGCAACCAACGAUUUCUCGAUCUAGUUGUGAAUCUAAAUAUCAGGCAUUGGCCCUUACUGCCACCGAGGUUAAGUGGCUACAGCAUCUUCUUUGAGAUUUUCAUAUGUCUUUUCCAUCUCCUUCGGUUAUGCUUUGUGACAAUCAAAGCUCCAUUUUUCUCGUUGUCAAUCUAAUCUCUCAUAAGCGUUCUAAGCAUAUUGAUUUGGAUUAUCAUUUUGUGAUAGAACUGGUGGGCAUCAGAGAACUCAAGAUUCGUUAUGUUCCCACUUACUUACAAAUUGCUGACAUUCUCACCAAAAGUCUCGACCAACCUGCCUUUAUUUUUUUACAUUCCAAGCUUCGCAUCUCUGAUUCUGAGAUACUAGGCUUGCAGGCGGUAUAACAGAUAUAAAAGGAUCCAUAAGAUCCUCUUCAAAUCAUGUUGUACCUUUUACCAAAACUCAAUCCUAUGAUUCUAGGCAAUCCCUUGAUUAUAGAGAAUAGCAUCAUUAUAGGCAAUCCAUUUAUUAUAGACAAUAACUAUAAAUGUUUACGUUGACUUUGUAUAUUAAUUACCUGUUGUAAUAUUGCUCGACAUGCUCUAUAAAUAAGAUGUGCACCACCAGACAAUAAAUCACGAUAUUUUACAAACCUUUUUAUUCUCGAUAUUAAAAAACUAGAAUCCUUCAGGUGGUUGUUGUUCACUAAUUAUCCAGGAUUCAAACCUUAAAAUCAAUAUUAUGAGAAAUUUAUAUUAAAAAAAAUUAAUUCACUUAGGUGGUGACCUUAAUUAUAUAUGUAAGACAAGUUCAACAUUGUUAACCUAGAAGCAAUAAGACAAUAUUUUCCAUUUCAAUAAAAAAGAUGUUAGGGUUUGGUUAAAUAAUUAAUUAAUUAACAUCCAUUAAAUUCCUCUUAAAAUAUGUUUCUUGCUUUUUUACUUUCUUCUCCGGCAGCCAAAAGAUGAGAAUAGUAAUGCAUUUUGUGUUAUUUAAGACUUUAGAUUUAUAAAAUAAAAUUAAUUGUUGAGAGUUGAAACAAAGUUUGUGAUAAUUUGAAGAGAAGACUAAUUAGGUAGCUCCCUCCGCUAUUUAUAAGAUUAGGACAGUAUAUAUGUGUUAUGGUGUAAUUUAGUACACAAGAUAAAUCUAUACAAAAAAAACAUAAUAUUUAUUAUUUUACAACAUAUUCCAUAAUAUUGAGAAAUAUGAGUAAUUCUUAUUAAAAAAUAAUAUAAAAUCAUAUUUAUAUAUUGUGUCAAUCAAUACCUUAAUUUUUUUAAAUUAAAAUGGCUAUUUAACAUAAUAUUACAUUAAUUUGUAAUAAUUAAGAGUUUAAUUCUUAUCACUGUUUUAAAUCUUUUAAGAAAAAUUCGAUGACGAUGUUGAGAUUCAGAAUUGGUUGUCUGUCAACGAAAAAAGAUGGAUUUGUACAAUUAUUUGGGAACGUGUUUGGAUAAUAUUUUCUAAAAAAAUGAAUUUCUUUUACUUAAAAAGCCAAUUUUCUAGUAUAUUUUUUUAGGUAAUAUUAACAAGUUCAUCUCAUCAAAUAAAAUCCGUGCACAUCAAUAUUAACUAAUUUCAUAGCAGGAAAAUGCAAAAACAAUUUUUUUCUAUGUCAGAAUCCAACAAAACUUUCUUUUCCCUUUAGAAACCAAGAACCGAAAAAUAAUAAAAAAGAAGACAAGAGAACCAUAAUUCAUGCUAAUGGACCAAAACUGGUUGCAUGAGGUAAGAAAUUAUUAGAUGUUCAUGUGAAUCAAUUCAAUUAUAUUACAUGGUGCAGGUGUACCAAAUCAAUCACAUUAAUAUCAUGAAGUUUUUCUUUUUCCAAAAAAGAAUAAUUUUAAUAUAGUUCAAAGUUGAGAAAUUAUUACUUCUUUUUGGUCUCUUCUUCGGCAAACCCAAGACAAGAGUAAGAAAGAACCCAAUUGGCAGCCACAACAAAUGGGUCUAACCCAUGGGAGAAGCAAGAAAGAGCCCAAUUGGCAUCCAUUACUCCACAAAAAUAAAAGCUUUAUUCUUAUGAUUAUGAUGGUAAGAGAUUGCGUGUAAAAUAAUGAUCGGAGCCUCGUGAGGAACAUCUUGGAGUAGUGGUUUAGAUUAUUCUAUAAUAAUUAAUCAACCAAAAUUGUAAAAGACAAACAUCAAAAUUGGAAGUUAUUGUAACAUUCGACCGUUGGAAUGACAAUGACCUGAUUUAGCAUUGUGACCAUAAGCAUAUAUUGAAAUCUUGCAUUUCUUUUUCAAGUUCCAUGCGAAAGAGAUUCUUGACAAUUAAUUGGCAUAUCUCACAAUAUAAUUUAGAAGGAAAAAAACGAACAUAGUUAUGGUAAUUUCUACAAAUCAAAGAUGAGAGAGCAAAUCUUACAAUAUAAUUUUUUUAGCUUGAAGAACAUCUAUGGUUCUUUUAAAAAAAACUAUAUAUUAAAUAAUCAUCUUAACUAAAAAACUUAAGCUCUUAAAUGAUUUUUCAAGAUAUAAUUUUUAUAUAUUAUUUUUUAACACACAUCAUAUGAAAAAUCUAUCUCAAUUCAAAAAUUUAAACUGUUAUGUGAGAUUUUAAAAUAUAAUUUAUAUUAUUUUCUAAUAAGAGUAAAAAACAAUAAUGUAUCAAUAAUGAAAUUAUUGAAAGAAAAAUAGAGGAAUGAAUUCAGCAAUACAAGAUGGCAAAGUGUAAGAAAAAAAUAAUUUAGUUAUAGAACCCAUACUUUGGUUUAUAUUUUUUACUUUCUAGUACACGAGACAUAAAAUUGUUGUAAAUUGUUGUUCUCAUAUAUGGCUUUUGGAUACUUUCAAUUUACUAAAAAAAAAAAUCAUGUUUUAAAAUAAUAUAAAUUUAUUUUAAAAUUAUCAAAGAAAUAAAUUUAUUUUUAUAUUUUUGUUUUCAUUCAUUUAACUACUAGACACGUUUCUAUCUCCUUUAUAUUUAUUUCUUCCGGCACAUAAAAAAAAAAAAAAAAAAACCCCUCAAAUCUAUGUGUCAUCUUAAUUCUAUAUGGUGAAAAGCACCUUGACAUUGAGAUUUUAAACACAAAAUGGAAGCAACUAAAAUGAAAGAAAGGAACACUUCUUAUCUCUCUACCUUCAUCUUAUCUUAUUUAUGGCAUGUCCACAAGUGUAGCUAUCAAUGACUGAAACCAUGCAAGUUUUUUAAAAGAAAAAAAAAUGACUGAACCAUAUGGAUAGUGCUCUAAUGAAAGAUUUUGGGAAAACACUGUCCGCUCAACUUGGGGCUGAGAAAAUGGGAUUUGUUUCUACCUUUUUACGUUUAUCACGCUCAUUGUCUCUUAAUUCAUUUGAAUAUUUUGUCCAUUUCUAAACAAGAAAUUAUUUUCUGAAGUUCGAGAUCCAAAAAACAAAAACAAAAGGGAGUAUACUAGUCCGUAGACUUUGUAAUCUCAGGCUGUUAUUUUCCUCUGGGUCAGUGUUAAGCACUUGGGGACCCUAGCUGAUAUGGAAUGUCUAUAUAUACAUACAAUACAAGAUGCUUAAAUUCCAUGAUGGAUAUGACAUUUUCAUAAAGGUACGUGGUAUACACUGAGCUAGUAGCUCAAAUGCUCACUCAAAUUUGUAAAUUUCAGGUCCAUUAAUGAGCUUAGAUUAGAGUUCUAGUAAUUAAAACCAAUCAAUGAAGCUGGGUCUGAAUAUUUCUCCAUUUGCUGCUAUGGUUUUAUGCCUAAAAGAGUUGGGAGUUGUGUACGUUCUGUGCCCUUUCAAUCGCUGUUAUAAAUAGAAAGAUAAUUGCAGGCUGAUGAUGAACAUUAAGGAGCAUGUAUAUAUAUAUGUAUAGCCAAUUUUAAGUCGAGCUCUUAAUGCAGUUAGGUUACCAUAUUUGAACUCCAUUUGUAGUCAUGAGAGUCAUUCUUCUGCUUCAAAGUGAUUGUAAGCUAAAAAUGGUCUUUUCUUGGACAAGUUGGCUCUUAGGCACUGGGCAGGGAGUCUAACCAAGGAUUGCGAAUAAAUCACGUUGGAAUUCUUCAUUAAGAACAUUAAUCUUGUGUCCAAAGCCUAAUUAAUGACAUUAUCCAUGUAUCUUGGAGGAUUAAGGGAUAUAUAACCUGCUCCAAGGUUAAAAACCAAGAUAAUUAUAGUAAACAAUUUCAUUCCAUACUCUUUUGAAGACUAAUUAUAGCUAGCCACAUGCAAGAACCAUUCUUCCAAGGGUACUUAAAAUCAAAUUAACACUAGAAGCAUGAAAACCAAAGCUGCCAGUAAAAAUAAAGCAUUUUUCACGAGCAUGGAUCAUCCGGAUUUAAAAAUAAUCUACUUUUUAUUCAACAAUUCUCGCCCGAUUCAGCAUCCGAAUCCAGAAGCUAAAAACAAAAACAAAGUAGAAUGAUAUUCAUCUCCAAAAACCCAAUAAAAAGGAAGAGGUAAAGCAUUUUGCCAAGGUCUAAGUACAAUUUAAACAAACCACCCUUAAGGCCCUAACAGAUAUAGCUAGGGACACAUCAAGUUCUGGGACGACUUAGACACCUUUUGGCUUGGCGGCAAUAAAGCUGAUGCACUGCACUUGACGCGUGUUGUCGAAUCCGAUUAUACGGAUAAAGGCGUUAGGGUAAGCUUUCUUUGCCUCCUCAAGCUCAAGCAACACUUGAGAUGCCUCAGUGCAUCCAAACAUGGGUAGCUUCCACAUAGUCCAGUAGCGUCCAUCAUAGUACCCUGGUGAGCUGUGGUGCUCACGGUAGACCCAACCUUUCUGCAUAAUCCAACAUAUACAAUUAAUUUCACAAAAGAAAAAAUAAGUCUGUGUUUUUACAAGGUAUAUACAGCUAAAGAUUCCCAUCUAGUUAUCACUGAAUCGACCAUGCAUAGACUAAUUCCUUUUUUCAUACAUUCAUAAUUUUGAUUGAGCUUCUAAUUUCAAUAACCAUGUCAGACUCAAGCAUCUGGUUAAAUGAGACGACAAUUUAGUGUUUAUAAUCAUAAUGUGUUCAAUGUGAUAGUAUAGGUGCAAUUAAUUUAGUACUCUGGUGAUAAAAAGCACAAAGCAGGGCUCCAAUUCUACAUUUCUACUCUCUGUCCUUAAUUAAUCAUCUCCUCGUAAUAAUAACAACAAUAAUUAGUGAGAAUUGUGUGAUUAUGGGAUUGGAUUUAUCACCUCCAACUCGAAUUCCAAGCAAGGAACCCACUUCGAGCGAAGAAGGUAAUCAAUUUCCUUGGCCAAUUCCUCCUCUGUGAGAUCUGGAAGGUAAGAAAGAGUCUCGAACUUCUUCAAUCCAGUUGGUGGCCACACCUAUAUUUAAAAUGUAUGAACAUUUUGUUGUGGUCGAAACAACAACAACAACCAAAAACAGUGAGCACAGAAGACUAAUUGCCAAGUUGGUACAAUAAAAUUAAGCGUGCUAGCUGUACUGAAUCUACCGAUAUCGAAGUAUGAAGUCUGUCUAUAUUAGGUUACCUGCAUGCAUUGAACUCGUCCACCAUUGCUUGCAAUGGAAGUAAUGUCAUUAGCCUUUCUGGUACUGACUGGGAAAGCUGCGGCAGACUUGAGACCAUUGAAUGGUGCCACCAUGUUGGCUUGUACCGGGGUGCGGUUGACGGUGGCAACGGCUGCCGAUGAGAUCAUAGAGGAGGAAGCCAUCUCUUACAAGCUUGUAAGCUAUGCAGUGCUCCCUAUAAAUGUG